GCCUUAGGUGGCGCAAUGGGUGAGCAUGUUUGGCUGUUGACCAGGAGGUUGGUGGUUCGAGCCUACCCAGGAG